rnacentral:rRNA from 1 species
CCUACGGGAGGCAGCAGUGGGGAAUAUUGGGCAAUGGGCGCAAGCCUGACCCAGCAACGCCGCGUGAAGGAAGAAGGCUCUCGGGUUGUAAACUUCUUUUGACAGGGAAGAGUAGAAGACGGUACCUGUCGAAUAAGCCACGGCUAACUACGUGCCAGCAGCCGCGGUAAUACGUAGGUGGCAAGCGUUGUCCGGAUUUACUGGGUGUAAAGGGCGUGUAGCCGGGUUGACAAGUCAGAUGUGAAAUCCUGCGGCUUAACCGCAGAACUGCAUUUGAAACUGUUGAUCUUGAGUACUGGAGAGGCAGACGGAAUGCGUAGUGUAGCGGUGAAAUGCGUAGAUAUUAGGAGGAACACCGGUGGCGAAGGCAGUCUGCUGGACAGCAACUGACGGUGAGGCGCGAAAGCGUGGGGAGCAAACAGGAUUAGAUACCCGUGUAGUC